UCUAGAGCUAAUACAUGCAGCAGAGCUCCGACCUUCGGGGACGAGCGCUUUUAUUAGACCAAAACCAAUCGGACCUCGUGUCCGUCCUUUGUGGUGACUCUGUAUAACUUUGGGCUGAUCGCACGGGCCUGUCCCGGCGACGUAUCUUUCAAGUGUCUGCCUUAUCAACUUUCGAUGGUAGGUUACGCGCCUACCAUGGUCGUAACGGGUAACGGGGAAUCAGGGUUCGAUUCCGGAGAGGGAGCCUGAGAAACGGCUACCACAUCCAAGGAAGGCAGCAGGCGCGCAAAUUACCCACUCCCAGAACGGGGAGGUAGUGACGAAAAAUAACAAUACGGGACUCUUUUGAGACCCCGUAAUUGGAAUGAGUACACUCUAAAUCCUUUAACGAGGAUCCAUUGGAGGGUAAGUCUGGUGCCAGCAGCCGCGGUAAUUCCAGCUCCAAUAGCGUAUAUUAAAGUUGUUGCGGUUAAAAAGCUCGUAGUUGGAUCUCAGUUCCAGACGGGUGGUCCGCCUACCGGUGGUUACUGCCUGUUCUGAACAGUCAGCCGGUUUCUCUUGAUGAUCUUCACCGGUUGUCUUGGGUGACCGGCAAGUUUACUUUGAAAAAAUUAGAGUGCUCAAAGCAGGCGUGACGCCUGAAUAAUGGUGCAUGGAAUAAUGGAAUAGGACCUCGGUUCUAUUUUGUUGGUUUUCGGAACACGAGGUAAUGAUUAAGAGGGACAGACGGGGGCAUUCGUAUUGCGACGCUAGAGGUGAAAUUCUUGGACCGUCGCAAGACGAACUACUGCGAAAGCAUUUGCCAAGAAUGUUUCCAUUAAUCAAGAACGAAAGUUAGAGGUUCGAAGGCGAUCAGAUACCGCCCUAGUUCUAACCAUAAACGAUGCCAGCCAGCGAUCCGGCUGUGUUCCUCAAAUGACACGCCGGGCAGCUCCCGGGAAACCAAAGCUUUU
rnacentral:rRNA from 1 species